AAAAUGUUGUAUAUUUCUUUGUCCACAUUUUUAAAGGCUGUUGACAAGUGACCAUCUAGCCCAGGAAGUGGAUUGUUUUAAUGCCCUUCAAGGUCCAGCAAAGACAAGGAUGACAACCAUAUUUGCAAGCCAGUCCCCACACUACCAAUGUUCUUUCUACAAGAAGUAGGUAGGAAGUCACUGGAGUCGAGGAACCCCUGUACAAUGAGGAUGAAGAAAACCCUCAAGCAGGAGAAAAAGAAAAGAAGACAAUCAAAGAGAGAAGUUCUCAGCUUGAUGGGAGAUAUGGGCUGCAGCUGCAGUUAACUCAGUGGAUGUAGAAGAUAUGGAGUGGGGAACAACAGUGUUUGCUACUCUGGUCCUUCAAGUUUUUAUCGAGUGUUUUGAAGUAGGGAUUGUAUAAUGGGUGCCCAUCUGUCUCCACAGUGCCCAGCAGAGUUCUAGGAGGUAGAGACGUCUGUUGUGUUUGCUUUUUCUUCACCUUUUGGUGGUUCUUCACUAAUCUAUGCAUGAAUUCAUUUUGAAACCUAUAUCCCAUUUUCCUUCUGGGAAGUCAUUUUCUCUCCCCCUCUUAGCUCAUGAAUUCCCAGUGAAAUUGAAUCCACUGUGAAUUCCGUGGAAUUGCCUCCAGAGGUGGGCAGGGAAAUCAGGUCCAGUCAGUUAGAGUAUUUUAUUCUCUGACUACAGUAAUCAGUUCAGAAAGAGUAAGUGACGAAAUCAUAGCUAAUGAAAUGCAGGGAGACUUUAUGAAGAUUGCUGGAAAAUUGUCUUCAUUUUUCUCCUAGCAUUAAACCUGGAAGUUAUCUUGAAACACUAUAUUUGAUAGUUGCCCAUCAACAAAGCCAGCACUUAGCAAAUUGACAUAAGAAACAAUAGACAACUAAGUGAAGAGCAUUACUUGACUUGGAUCAAAUGAGUCCUCUGGAACCACACAUUCCUAUUUGGUAUUAGCAUAUUUGACAGGUUUUGUUGUCACAUGCAGUAAAAAAGUUGUGAUAUAUAUAUGCCAUUUUCUCUAGAAAGGACACUGGCUUCACAGAACAGGCACUAACUCAAUUCAACUUGAGUUUUAUUAAGUAGAAGAAAAGGAAAUCUCAUGAACUCCUAGGGACAAGGAAUAAAGUUUGAAAAGACAGCAUGGGUAAGACUCUGGAAAGUGACUCAGGAAACUGUGUAGUUUUACAUGCUUCAUGCUUCUCUAGUGGAUGGUCAUUGAAAUAAUUACUAAAGGAUAAACUCCAGGAAAAAGAGAAGUGGAUCAGAAGAAAGAAAUGAAAUGCAAGAAUAAAUAGGGAGAAAAAAAGUUGCUGAACAUGAAGAUAAAUCUAAGAAAGUGUUACAGAACAUGAGGGGAUAUCUGUGAAAGCAUUAGUUUAUAAAAUGAGAACAACAAUGGCUAAAUUUGAGGGUUAAAAGAGGUUGGAACUAAAUUACGAAGCACAACAUCAUUUAUGUCAUGAGGGUGGGAUCACAAGGAAGCCUUUGCAAGUACUUGCUUGUUCAGGAGAGGGAAGGAGAUAUAGAUCACUUAGGCAUAAGUCUAUUUUCUGGUUAAGAGUCAUCACUAAGGCCGGGCGCAGUGGCUCACGCCUGUAAUCCCAGCACUUUGGGAGGCCGAGGCGGGCGGAUCACGA
rnacentral:lncRNA from 1 species